CCUACGGGAGGUAGCAGUGGGGAAUAUUGCGCAAUGGGGGCAACCCUGACGCAGCAACGCCGCGUGAUUGAAGAAGGCCUUCGGGUUGUAAAGAUCUUUAAUCAGGGACGAAAUUUGACGGUACCUGAAGAAUAAGCUCCGGCUAACUACGUGCCAGCAGCCGCGGUAAUACGUAGGGAGCAAGCGUUAUCCGGAUUUACUGGGUGUAAAGGGCGCGCAGGCGGGCCGGCAAGUUGGAAGUGAAAUCCCGGGGCUUAACUCCGGAACUGCUUUCAAAACUGCUGGUCUUGAGUGAUGGAGAGGCAGGCGGAAUUCCGUGUGUAGCGGUGAAAUGCGUAGAUAUACGGAGGAACACCAGUGGCGAAGGCGGCCUGCUGGACAUUAACUGACGCUGAGGCGCGAAAGCGUGGGGAGCAAACAGGAUUAGAUACCCCGGUAGUC
rnacentral:rRNA from 1 species